ensembl:lncRNA
AGAGCCUCUUGCACCUGGGGAUUUAGGCUGAUGAGGUGAGGGCUGGUAGAGCCCCUGAAAUUCACUCUCUGCUGCUCCAACAGCUCAAGGGCUUGUUCAGACAGAGGCAGCAGCUGCAGUCAGGGCACAGGAAGCUGCCAAGAGACCAGAAGGACGAGUGCUCAGUGGAGCAAUGGGUGAAGAACUCUCAAGUGAAUGCAAGAGGAGCCAUCAAGCCACACGGGAAACCUCCACAGGAGCUAAAAGAAAAGCAGCAGCCUGUGCCAGGAGAUCUGGGCUUCUCCACCAGCACCGAAGAAGCGCAGAGCCUCAGGCUACAACUGCAAGAGAAAACGGAAAUGAUUUCUGCCAUGGCCUCUGAGAUCCAGGGACUGCAGCAAAAGAACGAACACCUGAUGAAAGCGAAACUGCGGUUUCAGCAGCAAAUCCAGGACAUCCGCAGCCUCCAGCAGCAGCGACAGGAAAGGAGCGACUCAGACCUGCUGGUUCCUAGGCUCUCCAGCCAGCAAGAGCUGGAGUUGGGGCUGAGCCAGCGGAGCGAUGGCUCUGGACCUCUGACUGGCGGUGAUCCCCAUGCUUCCUCCUUCUGCCCCCCACACAGCAGAGCUGCUCUGUACCUAGCCAAGCAGGUGGUGCUGCCCGAGGCAGGAGACGAGCUGCGUUGCUUCAGUUCUGAAAGCAGUGGCAGCCAGUCCCACAGGUCCCAGGCAGGGUCAGAACUGCCAGCGCCGCCGCUGAGCAAGCUCCCUGCUGAUUCUGUGACUGGGAAGCUGCCUCCCCCUUCCACACUGCCCCUCCCAGCCUCCACCCCAGCAUCUGGCAAAUCCUCCCCCGAGGCGCGCUCCUCCCCAGUGAGCCCCCGGAGUCAGCCUGGAAGCCAGGAGUCCUCAUAUACUCCCAAGGGGGCAGUGCUGCUCUCGCCGAGACCCUUCCGGGCACAACGACUGGGCUCUCCCUUUAAAUUCAGAGUGAGCCCGGAGCCCCCAGGGGAGAGCUGUGGCAGCUGAAGCACCCUGUCCGUUGAGGUCAGACUAGAUGAUCACAACGGGCCUCUUCUGGCCUUGGAAUCUAUGAAUCCUGCAUGGCUGGGUACAUGUGGCUUUGAAUGAUCUGCUCUGUGCCCUCUCCUUGUCCUCUGAGCUGUUCGCCGUAGAGUCUGGCUGGUAAAUGAAUGAACAUAGCAUGUUCUCUUGGAACUGGCUGUUUCCCCCUGGCAGUGGGGAAAGGUGGUCUCCUGACCCCUUGGGUUGGAAUUCAGAUUAGGGGCAUUACAGGGGAGAGGCUGUUCUUGCACUAGCUGGGCAACUAAGUCCAACAGUCCUCGAUGCCUCGCCCCGCGCACCUGGGCCUCCUGGAGUUGGGAGCCACCAGUGUGGUCUGUGAGCAGCAAAUGGUUUGAUGUAUGCUACAGGUUCUUCCCCUGCCCUCCUUACCCGAGCAUCUGAGCACCUGCCGCUCAUGCAUUAAGGGAUUUGACUCACUUUUGCCACACAUAGUUCUUGCUUUCGCUCAUCUUCUCCUCAGGGGGAGAACUGUGCAGUAAAGUGUUGGGAAACAUACCCCCUGCUCUGUGUUUAUAUGGGGAAGGGAUGGUCAGAGGGGUGCGCCUGGCACCUAGACCACGAGGUAGGGAGGAUUGUGAUGGUCCUUGGGUUCAUCCCACAGUCUGAGGCUGGCCCCCAAGAGAGCUCUGCCUCCUGCAUAGCUGAGCCAAGCUUUACCCUGAAGUUAGGAAGUGCCUUGGUGCCAGAGGAGCAGAGCCCAGCCAGGCCCCAGCCCAGAGCUUUAGGUGAUCUUCUACAUAGGCUUCUUCUGUUCCCCCUGAGAUAGAGAGCUGCUUCUCCUUCCCUGGAAGCUCAACCUCCUGAGGGAGAGAAGGCCUUAGAUAGAGUACCUCAAGCUACACCAGCUGCACUGCUCAGCUGCUGCACUGAGGAACAGGCAGCAGAGCAGGCCCUCGUAGCUCUCUGCCUCCAGUUCCCUCGUCCCUAGCAGCCCUGCCUUCAG